rnacentral:snRNA from 1 species
AGCUUUGCAUAGUGGCAGUAUCAUAGCCAAUGAGGUUUAUUUGAGGCACGAUUGUUGCUAAUUGAAAACUAUAAAUGCCUAUUCUCUUUCCCCCAACCACAAUCAUUCUCUACUAUCUGAAGACAGAAAACUAUAUCUAGU